rnacentral:rRNA from 1 species
CCUACGGGAGGCAGCAGUGAGGAAUAUUGGUCAAUGGUCGGGAGACUGAACCAGCCAAGCCGCGUGAGGGAUGAAGGUACAGAGUAUCGUAAACCUCUUUUGUCAGGGAACAAAGGCGGGGACGUGUCCCCGGAUGAGUGUACCUGAAGAAAAAGCAUCGGCUAACUCCGUGCCAGCAGCCGCGGUAAUACGGAGGAUGCGAGCGUUAUCCGGAUUUAUUGGGUUUAAAGGGUGGGCGGGCGGUCUGUUAAGUCAGCGGUAAAAGCCCGGGGCUCAACCCCGGCCCGCCGUUGAAACUGGCAGUCUCGAGUGGGAGAGAAGUAGGCGGAAUGCGCGGUGUAGCGGUGAAAUGCAUAGAUAUCGCGCAGAACUCCGAUUGCGAAGGCAGCAUGCCGGCUCCACACUGACGCUGAGGCACGAAAGCGUGGGUAUCGAACAGGAUUAGAUACCCGAGUAGUC